CACGUAGGGUGCGAGCGUUGUCCGGAAUUAUUGGGCGUAAAGAGCUCGUAGGCGGUGUGUCGCGUCGGCCGUGAAAACCUGCAGCUUAACUGUGGGCUUGCGGUCGAUACGGGCAUCACUGGAGUUCGGCAGGGGAGACUGGAAUUCCUGGUGUAGCGGUGAAAUGCGCAGAUAUCAGGAGGAACACCGGUGGCGAAGGCGGGUCUCUGGGACGGUACUGACGCUGAGACGCGAAAGCAUGGGGAGCGAACAGG
rnacentral:rRNA from 1 species